GUUCCUACUUGCUGAGUGAUCAUCGGGUGCUGAAAAUGAGGGUGGGAGGAAAACAAACUAACUGGUAAUCAGAGUCUGCAAAAGAUUUGCUGGGAUGGUAUAUGUCCUCCAUUUGAAGUGUGGAUUUGAGGUAAGUAAACCGACCUGAGAAGCAGGGACAAGUAUUAUUUCAUCAAAAGUGAUGCACAAUCUUCUACUACUAUUAUUUAGUAAAGCACUGAAUGCAAUGUAUACACUGUGUACAGUGGUUUAUCCA